CGGCAGCGAUAAUACGAAUCUCGGAAUUCUACUCAAUGUUGUCCGAAGACGUAACAUCAGCGCAUGUAAAUUCAAUUAUUCCGUUUAAAAUUGAAUUUGGUGUAUUCUGCAAAUCAGAUUUAUGUUUCUUUAAUCAUAAUGAGAUUCCGUUAUCAACUGAUGAACCAAUAUGGAUUUGUAAAAAGCAUAAGCUACGACAUGCUGUUAAAAGUCUCACAGCUUGGUUUUCAGAAAAGGAACCAUGUGACGGAUGUACAAGAUUUUGCAACGGACUCGGAAAAGUAGAAAGGGAGCAGUGUCCUUUACCACAUCAUAUAAGAAGGCUAGCAGCACAACUCUCGCCUGAUGAGUGUCGUCAAAUUACUAUAUGUCUAGGACUUAAGGUGGAACAGUGGUAUGAUUUAGAGUACCAAUUCCAGCAUCAGCCUUCAAAUGACCUUAAAUUUAUGGCAUUAUGGUCUUGUACGAUAAGGAGCAGACAUUUAUGCUUCAACGAUCUGAAACAUGUUCUGGAAAACAUAGGACUGAAUCCACAUCUACU